GUCAAUACACAUGUGACUAACAUAACAAGGCGAUACUGGCGAUAACAAGUGAAAUUUUUGGUUGGCUGUUGAUAUACACACGCACAAAUUCCAAUAACUAAAUCAUCCACGGAAAAAGAAGUUCCACGUUUAGGAGUAUAUUUGUAAUGAAGUGCAGGAGGCGAAGCGCCCGUGUGUCCUUUCAAAAAGUUAGCACGCGUUGGUGACCAUAAAAAGUUAGGUUAUGUUAGCAACGGCUGCAAUGCUGCAAUUAAAGAAUGCACGAAUGCGAAAUUUAACAAAUUUUUGUGGCAAAAGGAAGCAUUUGCAUAACAUUUGAAGAUGAGGAACGUGAUCAAAAGAUGCUGUAGAAGAGCUUUGCACAAACAGUUUGUGCGAAAUCGAGAAGCGCGUGUUCUGCGCGAUGUUACGGAGUUAGAUAAGCGCAAAUGUAGUUCAUUUUCAAACUGUUUUUCAGAAGUUGAAGGCGCAUUGAUGACCAGUGGGACCAAGGGCCUUUGGUGGUUAAAUAUGCCUUUAUAUACAUGGACACCAGAUGCAUGUGCUUAGAAAGAUGAUUUUUGAUUAAGAACUCAGAGCAAGAGUAUCUUUAAUGGUGUAUACAAAUUUGACAAACAACGCAUUUUAAUGUCUGAUAACUACAUUUCCUAUCCAUCAGUUCUACUUCAUGAAAGUUAGUUUUGGUUUGUGAGUGCAUUAAAUGUUUUACAGCAGAUUCUUUAGCUACAUUAUCAAAACUUGUCUGGGUGGCAAGUUUAUGGGACUUACUGACCAAAAGGUCAUGGUGAAUAGCUCCCUCUAUUGGUUUACCACCAAAAUAUUUGUAUUUCAAAGAUCUGUGCAAAGAUUUGGCGUGCAUGUUGGUGUUAAUGCCUGCGUUCUUUUGAUAACACUGGGCCCAUGACUUCAUGCGCUCUUUAUUUUGAAAGUAGCAUUCCAAUAUGUAGCUGUAACUAUCAUCUGUCAUGAAAUAAUUGGGUACCAAAACCGAUAUUAAUGAUUUUAUUUCACCAACC